rnacentral:sRNA from 1 species
CUGAUUUCCCUAGAGUCUGAUGACCUCUAUUUAUCCACAGAAAGGUACUGCAUGCACAACAGUAAUAUGAGCUUCCCUACCAAUGCACUGCUAACUUGCCUCAACCCUGUCUUGAGGCGAUCACAUCUAUAGGCAAGGAAAUGAAUCUAUUCUCUCACCCAUUCAACCUAAAGCCCAC